rnacentral:rRNA from 1 species
UACGUAGGGUGCAAGCGUUAAUCGGAAUUACUGGGCGUAAAGCGUGCGCAGGCGGUUUUGUAAGUCUGUCGUGAAAUCCCCGGGCUUAACCUGGGAAUGGCGAUGGAGACUGCAAGGCUAGAGUUUGGCAGAGGGGGGUAGAAUUCCACGUGUAGCAGUGAAAUGCGUAGAGAUGUGGAGGAACACCGAUGGCGAAGGCAGCCCCCUGGGUCAAAACUGACGCUCAUGCACGAAAGCCAGGGGAGCGAACGGG